rfam:Hordeum vulgare subsp. vulgare, WGS project CAJW01000000 data, contig: morex_contig_43078
GACAUGCUCCCUCCUUCCGGAAUUACUUGUCGCACAAAUGGAUGUACCUAGAACUAAAAUACAUCUAGACACAUCCAUUCCUAUGACAAGUGUUUCCGAAUGGAGGGAGUAUUUU